rnacentral:rRNA from 1 species
GAGUUUGAUCGUGGCUCAGGACGAACGCUGGCGGCGCGCUUAACACAUGCAAGUCGAGCGAGAACCAGGGCUUCGGCCCUGGGACAGCGGCGAACGGUGAGUAACACGUGGGUAAUCUGCCCUUGACAUCGGGAUAGCCCGGGGAAACCCGGAUUAAUACCGAAUAGCCUCCGGAGCCUUCGGGCGCCGGAGAAAAGGUAGCUUCGGCCUCUGGUCAAGGAUGAGCCCGCGGCGGAUUAGCUUGUUGGCGGGGUAAUGGCCCACCAAGGCGACGAUCCGUAGCUGGUCUGAGAGGACGAUCAGCCACACUGGGACUGAGACACGGCCCAGACUCCUACGGGAGGCAGCAGUGGGGAAUCUUGCGCAAAUGCGGGAAACCGUGACGCAGCGACGCCGCGUGGGGGAAGAAGGCC